CGGGACGUGGCGCAGUCCGGAUAGCGCACUUGCUUGGGGUGCAAGGGGUCGCGGGUUCAAAUCCCGCCGUCCCGACAA
rnacentral:tRNA from 1 species